GAUGAACGCUGGCGGCGUGCCUAAUACAUGCCAGUCGAGCGAACGGACGAGAAGCUUGCUUCUCUGAUGUUAGCGGCGGACGGGUGAGUAACACGUGGAUAACCUACCUAUAAGACUGGGAUAACUUCGGGAAACCGGAGCUAAUACCGGAUGAUAUUUUGAACCGCAUGGUUCAAAAGUGAAAGACGGUCUUGCUGUCACUUAUAGAUGGAUCCGCGCUGCAUUAGCUAGUUGGUAAGGUAACGGCUUACCAAGGCAACGAUGCAUAGCCGACCUGAGAGGGUGAUCGGCCACACUGGAACUGAGACACGGUCCAGACUCCUACGGGAGGCAGCAGUAGGGAAUCUUCCGCAAUGGGCGAAAGCCUGACGGAGCAACGCCGCGUGAGUGAUGAAGGUCUUCGGAUCGUAAAACUCUGUUAUUAGGGAAGAGCAUAUGUGUAAGUAACUGUGCACAUCUUGACGGUACCUAAUCAGAAAGCCACGGCUAACUACGUG
rnacentral:rRNA from 1 species